rnacentral:lncRNA from 1 species
CUGAGCCAUGUAUAUAUCUUCAUGCAAUAUGCCAUUAAGAAAUGCAUUAUUUACAUCAAGUUGGCGUACCUACCAUCCACGAGAAAUAGAAAUGGAGAGAACCACACGUAUGGUUACUGGUUUCACCACAGGACUAAAAGUAUCUGUGUGAUCAAAACCAGGAACUUGAUGGCAACCUUUUGCAACCAAUCGCACCUUAUAUCGAGAGAUAAAACCAUCAGGAUUUCUCUUUAGUUUAAAAACCCAUUUGCAGCCAAUCAACUUUCUAUCUGAGGGCAAAGAGACUAAGUUCCAAGUGUUAUUGUUAAUUAAUGCAGUAUAUUCCUCACGCAUUGCCAUAUUCCACUGAGGACAUUUGAGGGCUUCUUUGAAAGAGUUUUGUUCAGUAUUUUGUAGGUCGGUAGUGAGGAGAACUUCAGAUUAAAAAUUCCAACCUUGGAUCGAGUGACCAUGUGAUGAGUAUUGAUAGGUGUUGGAGACAUAGAUGAUGAAUUUGACUAGGAAGGUAGAUCAAUAGGUAACGAUUUAGGCUCGGUGGUUGAUGUGGUUGAUUCACUAGGGAACAAUGAGGGCAUAUUGUGUGUUGGAGAGUGAGGUGCUCGAGAUUUUUGCCAUGAGGAAUCACUGUUGGGAUCAGUUCUUAGCA